AUUGAACGCUGGCGGCAUGCCUUACACAUGCAAGUCGAACGGCAGCACGGGUGCUUGCACCUGGUGGCGAGUGGCGAACGGGUGAGUAAUACAUCGGAACAUGUCCUGUAGUGGGGGAUAGCCCGGCGAAAGCCGGAUUAAUACCGCAUACGAUCUACGGAUGAAAGCGGGGGACCUUCGGGCCUCGCGCUAUAGGGUUGGCCGAUGGCUGAUUAGCUAGUUGGUGGGAUAAAGGCCUACCAAGGCGACGAUCAGUAGCUGGUCUGAGAGGACGACCAGCCACACUGGGACUGAGACACGGCCCAGACUCCUACGGGAGGCAGCAGUGGGGAAUUUUGGACAAUGGGCGAAAGCCUGAUCCAGCAAUGCCGCGUGUGUGAAGAAGGCCUUCGGGUUGUAAAGCACUUUUGUCCGGAAAGAAAUCCUUGGCCCUAAUACGGUCGGGGGAUGACGGUACCGGAAGAAUAAGCACCGGCUAACUACGUG
rnacentral:rRNA from 1 species